AGCACACCCGCUCGCCGCGGAUGCAGGAACUCCGGUGCAAACCCGGGGCGGUUCCGCCACUGUGAGUCUUCGGACGAGCCAGACACUGACCGCGGCGACUCCCACCACA
rnacentral:misc_RNA from 1 species